CAGCCGCCGCGGGAAUACGAAGGGUGCAAGCGUUAAUCGGAAUUACUGGGCGUAAAGCGUGCGUAGGCGGUGAGUUAAGUCUGCUGUGAAAUCCCCGGGCUCAACCUGGGAAUGGCAGUGGAUACUGGCUCGCUAGAGUGUGUCAGAGGAUGGUGGAAUUCCCGGUGUAGCGGUGAAAUGCGUAGAGAUCGGGAGGAACAUCAGUGGCGAAGGCGGCCAUCUGGGACAACACUGACGCUGAGGCACGAAAGCGUGGGGAGCAAACAGGAUUAGAUACCCCGGUAGUCCCUGUCUCUUAUAA
rnacentral:rRNA from 1 species